CACAGCCCUAUUCUAGGACCAAUCACCAAGGCCAAGGGAAUGCCCUAAACUCAUUGGUGUAGGCCUGUCCCACAUGCCUACUCCUGAGCUAAUCAGUGUCAAGAGACAGGACUCAGGGCAGAGCUAAACCUGGGCCUGAAGAUCUACCAGCAAAGCAUGUGCCUGUCCACAGUGAGAAGAUGAGAGCCAAAAAGAAGAAAAGGAAGAAAAUGACACAAGUGCCAACAGGAUCUGCUGACAAUGUCUAUCCUAAAAGCAAAGUGUGAAAAAAAGAAAAGAAGCAAUUCUCAACCAAGAAUCCAGGGUAAAGGGGUCAUUAUUUUUAUACUUGGUCAACCACAAGGAAAAGGAAUGACUGUUCAUGUUCUUUCCUGUUGAAAUAGUCUCUGAACAGGUAAGCCACUUGCCCAAAGUCUCAGAUCUGAAAUGAGGAGAAUAGAAAUUUCACUCUAGAUGAAGGUUGUGUCUCGUGACCACACUUUUCCUGUUGCAUUUGUAAUUUAUUGGGAAGGUUACUACAUUUCUGAGAACCUAUGGGAAGAUAAAAUAAAUUACAAAACACCCUCCCUCCAAAAGAUGUUCUUAUGUUCUACAUAGAGCUGGCUGGGUUAUAUGAUUCUUUCUUUUUUUCCUUUUUUUUUUUUUUUUUUGUCUUUUCUAGGGCUGCACCUGGGACAUAUGGAGGUUCCCAGGCUAGGCGUCUAAUCGGAGCUACAGCUGCCAGCCUACACCGCAAUACCAGAUCCAGGCCGCAUCUGCGACCUAUACCACCGUUCAAGGCAACACCGGAUCCUUAACCCACUGAGCGAGGCCAGGGAUGGAACCUACAACUAGGAUGGUUCCUAGUUGGAUCCGUUAACCACUGAGCCACGAUGGGAACUCCAGGUUAGAUGAUUCUUAAAGCCUCUUUCAUAAUAAUUAAGACUUAUUCUAGUGUGGGUGUAGGAAAGGUCAAAAACAGGCCCAGGCUAAUAUGCUCAGAGAACAGAGGGUGCCAGGACCCUGAGCAGACAGAUGGAGGGGCAGGGGAGAGAAAGAAGCGGGAGGGUGGACAUUUGGCCCUCAGACAAAUCACAUGCUCAAAACUAUGCAGAUAAAGUACUGAUGUUAAUGAACACUAGACAUCUCAGCCACAUUGACAUUUUUUACAGAUCUGAUGUCAAUUCCUUAAUUUAAUAUUGAGGUCUUUUAAAUUAUUAUUGAUGGCUCCUUGAGAUACUAAUUGAAUUGGAAUCACUUAUCUCACUCUUCACCACUCUAAGUGUAUUAUAUUCCUUUCUAAGUGAACCCUGGGUGUCUUUCACUGAUUUUUACUUUCAUAGAUAAAUUCCGCCAAGAAUAAUAUUAUCUGAGGACUAGUGUAAGACCUUGACCGUCAAGAAAGAUCACUGCUGAAAAGUGAUUUUUAAUUACUUCUUACUGAGGAAGAUUCAGCUCCAGUCACAAAGGUGAUAUCACAAUGUCAGCCAAUUAAAUGAAACCAUUUAUAUUUAAUUGCCUCCACAGCAUGGUCACAUCCUUGGGAAAGUGGAUGUCCUAUUGUUUGGGUUAAAGUGAUCUUUGCAACUUUCUCCUGAUUACUUUUUAACAGUGGGAGCUUGAUGUUGAUCUUCUUUCUUACUGGCAAUCUAUUUUUAUGGUUAUAUGGAGUAUGUUCAAUUAACUAGCACCUAUCUUUAGAUAACAAAAUGCAUCCAAACUUGUAAAUAUAUAGUGACUAUUAAACAUGAUGAGGAGAUGGUUGAUAGAAAUCCAAUCAAUAAAUGAGAGUACAAUAAAAACUACACUCAGAAGUUCUGUCUGGCUCAGCGGAAACCAAUCUGACUAGCAUCCAUGAAGAUGCAGAUUCAAUUCUUGGCCUUGCCCAGUGGAUUAAGGACCUGGCAUUGCCAUGAACUGUGGUGUAGGUCGCAGAUGCAGCUUAGAUCUGGUGGUGCUGUGGCUGUGGUAUAGGCUGGCAGCUACAUCUCCAAUUUGACUCCUAGCCUGGAAAGAUCACUGCUGAAAAGUGAUUUUUAAUUACUUCUUACUGAGGAAGAUUCAGCUCCAGUCACAAAGGUGAUAUCACAAUGUCAGCCAAUUAAAUGAAACCAUUUAUAUUUUCUUCCAUAUGCUCUAGACAUAGCCCUAAAAAGACCAAAAAAGAAAAAAGAAAAACAAACAAACAAACAAAAAACAAAAAACAAAACUACACUCAGAUUUGUUUGGACAGUAUAAGGAGGGUAAAUAAUAUAAAAUGAUCAGGUAAUUAUCACAGUAUUAUGUGUCAGCAAACAUUUGAAAUCAGAUAGGUCUAAUAACAAAAGCAAUUCAUGUAAAGUUAGCACCUGUACCUCAGGGACAGUUUUAUUGUCAAAGACUAUGUUACAUGAAAAAGAAUGGUGAAAUAGUAUUAAGUUAAAGACAAGGAUGCAUGGUUGUCUUAUAAUUAAGAUAAUACAACUGGGGGGAAGAGUUUACAUGGACCCCCCCCCCAAAAAAAAAACCUGAAAAAAUAUAGACCAAUUGUUCCCUCGGGGUAAUGGCCUGCAGGUGAUUUUAAUUUUGAAUCAUUUCCACUUUUUCAGGUGGUUAUUCUGUAGCUGUAGCAGCAUCAGUGUCAGGGAAUGAUAGAUGGUCCAAGGCAGUCGUUCAAAGAGUAACCCUGAACAGGUAGUGUUACCAUCACCCUGGAACUUGUCUGAAACGCACAUCUUUAGACCCUACAGCACACCAACUGAUGUGGCCCAGGACUUUUUCAGAAGCUUCCCAGCGGAUUCUGAUGCAGGUAACACUGAGGCCAUGUGUAACUCGUCCACAAAUGUGGACAAGGGUUCUGGGCAUCCACUGGCCUUCUCUCUCCGUGUCCUCUAUUGUCCCCAAGAAGGCUACGCUAGGUUUCUGGCCACUGGGGUUUCACAGUUCCCAAAAAAACAGAGCAGAAAAGUAUCACAUCGACUUGGAACUCUCCCAGAAUCAUCUCUCAAGUCAUGUUGCCAUCCAAAUUCAAGGGGAUGUGGAAGAGACUCUCUGGAUGGGAAGAGGUACAAAGUCACAUGCAAAGGGCCUGUCUUAGCCGUCUGUGCUUCUACAACAAACUGAUCACAGAGUGGGCAGCUUAUGAACAACAGAAACUCAUUUCUCCCAGUUCUGGACACUGGAAGUCCAAGGUGAAGGGACCAGCAGAUUUGGUGUCUGCCCCCCAGAUCCGGAUUAUCCCCUGGCUGUGUCCUCACAGGGCAGAAAUAUGGAGCCAGAUCUAUAGAGUCUGAUUUUUAAACAUAGCACUGAUCCCACUCAAGAGGGUUCCACCUCUAUUGCCAUCACAAUGGGGGUUAGGAUUCAGCAAACACAUUUGUGAAACAUAAACCUUCAGUAGACAGAAGAAUAUGGAUCCAUUAUGGGGAGAAAAGCUUAUCAUUUUUUUUUCCCUAUCUCCCACACCAAAUGUGCACUGUUGAUGAGGUUAUUAGUAAAUGCCAGUCCAAGGAUUCAUGAUGUUAACCAACUUCAUGGUUUUGAAUUCGAAAUAAAUACAGUGUGAAUUUUUCAACAAUCCUCCUUUGCUCAGUUUUCUUCCUCUCUUAUUUACCACUAUUUUUACCUUGAAACUUUUCUUGCCUUCUGGUUAUUUUUCUUGUCCUUACAUUGUCACCAUCUUUACCUCCUCACUCACUGCCCCUUCACUCUCAUGUCUCCAUCACUGGUCCCACUCCUGCUAAUCUCCCCUCUGUUCCAGUAAGAGCCACAUAGAAGGAGGAGGCAGAACAGGGAAAUAAGGUCUAGUCAUGGUCAUGCAUCUGCCUGCAACAAACCUGUGUGAGGCUUAAGAUCUCAGUGGUUAUCAGAAAACCCACCUUAGUAAAACGUCCCCAUGGCACUCAUCAUUUCAGGUUUCUUCCUCCUCUAAAACAGUUGUAUAUCUUUACUAAGGGACUUCAAAAACCCAGCCAACUGAAACAACGACAGUAAGGAGAUCCCCAAGCACGUUUUACUUGCUUAUUAACCUGUGAUCUCAUGCAAUGGUGUGUUUAUUUCUAAGUUUUCAAGCUGUCAAAUUUGACAUAUGAUAUUUCUAAUCAGGGAAUGAUGCUGUGAUAAUGGUUUUCCAUAGCCAAUGUGAUGAAGUAGAAAAAAAGAGAAAAGGAUAACUGAAAAAUAACAUAUGAAAAUAACUAGAGCAUUGGCACAGUACUAAGUAGAACAGUAGAUACAUGAAAAUUCCAAUACAUGAUUGGCCAGCUAGUCCAAAGGGCUGGGAGACAGAGCCAUUCUUUGGUUUGUCUGCUUGUAGAACAAAUGAGACUGCUUCAAACAUAAAAUAGACUUCUGUGAAUCAUGCCUGAUUGGAGUUUCCUACUCAUCAUAAAUCAGUAACAAUAAUAAUAACCUUACACCAAAAAUGUACAUGAAUCUACACAUAGUUUAUUAUCAUUGUGAGUGUUUAAAAUGUAAUGCCUAAAGUUAAUUGCUAGUUAUAUCAUACUGACGCUAUAGAUAUUUGAGUUAAGGAAAGCUAUAUAUUAUUUGAGUUAAACUGACUCAAUUCAGGCAUGUUCCUUUCUAAUACAACCCCCCCCAAAUAAUGCUGAACAAAAAACAAAAUAAACAAAAACACAUCUUUUACUGAAGUGAUAAAUAUUAAUGAUUUCAUUGACUAGUUGACUAUUUAGCAAAUGCAUUUUUUUUAGUAUUCAUUGAUACAAAUUAAAUCAUCACUUUUAAUUUAUCUCAACUGAUUAUAGUAUAAUUUCAUAGAAAUAACCACAAAAUCAGGACAAGUAUUUUAUUGGGACAUUCUGUGUUUGUGUGUGUGUGUGUGCGUGCGUGCAAUGUUUAUAAGUAUACACAAACUCAUGUAGAAUUAAAUGUAUAACACACACACAUAUUAUAUGUAGAUAUUUUAACCCAAUUAAAUUAUUUUUCAAUUCUAAAGCUCAAUACACCAAGAAAAAUGAAUAUGGAACUAAAACAACAACAUAGAAAAAAUAAAAAUAUCAAAUGCCUGAUAUUAACUAGGUCCUGCAUUUCAACCUUAGCUUACUUUUAAACUGACUAAGAGCUAAGGAAAAAAAGUAAAACAUAACAUAUCACUGUUUCCUUGUCUGUUAAGGAAAGCUAUAAAGCAGUAUGCUUGAACUGGGUUUCAGUAAAUUUGUUCUUGGAAUCCCCAAAGCACUUAACAUAUGCCUGGUCCAAAGUGCAUAAUCUUUAUAUGCUUUUUGAAAAAAAAAAAGUCAAUAGCCCUUAGUUCACUUGUAUAAUGGGCUAAAAAGUGCGUCAGAGGAAGGCUUUAAUAAUUAAAUGAGAUAAUAUGACUCCAUUAGCUUAAUAUCUAGUAGUGUACCAUAUGCUCAAAGAAUGCUUUCCUUUUUUAUACUCAACGAUAUGUGU
rnacentral:lncRNA from 1 species